rnacentral:rRNA from 1 species
CAGGACGAACGCUGGCGGCGUGCCUAAUACAUGCAAGUCGAACGGUCUUUUCUAUGGAAGCUUGCUUCCACUGAGAAGAUAGUGGCGAACGGGUGAGUAACACGUGGGUAACCUGCCCAUAAGAGGGGGAUAACAUCCGGAAACGGGUGCUAAUACCGCAUAGUUUUCUUGAUCGCAUGAUUGAGAAAGGAAAGACGGCCUUUGUGCUGUCGCUUAUGGAUGGACCCGCGGCGUAUUAGUUAGUUGGUGAGGUAACGGCUCACCAAGACGAUGAUACGUAGCCGACCUGAGAGGGUGAUCGGCCACAUUGGGACUGAGACACGGCCCAAACUCCUACGGGAGGCAGCAGUAGGGAAUCUUCCGCAAUGGACGAAAGUCUGACGGAGCAACGCCGCGUGAGUGAAGAAAGGUUUUCGGAUCGUAAAACUCUGUUGUCAGAGAAGAACAAGUUGGAGAGUAACUGCUCCAGCCUUGACGGUAUCUGACCAGAAAGCCACGGCUAACUACGUGCCAGCCGCUGC